rnacentral:lncRNA from 1 species
AAAAAACGUCCUUAUACCAUUUGUAGUGAGAUAGUGUAGGACAACGUAAAUUAGAUAAAAGAUCAGCAGUUCGGGCUGCAAGUAUUGAAGUAUUUCCUAUGAAAUGAAGAGCAAUUGUAUAAAUCAGUGAAUUGACAGCAUCACUUUCAGAAUAUACCAUAUCUUGGUUGUGUUCAUUUUUUGUUGUCCAUUGACGAGUAUUUGUUAAUA